GCCGGCGGGGGUCCCUCGGGGAGGGGGCGGGAUCGCGGGAUACCCCCCGUACACAGACACGCGGGGAGCGGAGGACCCCUCAGGGCCCGGGCCGAGCCCACCGUGACGCCGCCCCGUGAGUGCGGCCGUGGUUCCCGGUAGAGGAGGCCGGUAAUGGCAAAGCCCCUGGUCCGCACCGCCUACCGUGGCCGUGGGUAGCGCGGCGCGCAGAGCCGCCGGCGGGGGGAAGGACCCUCUUUCCCGGUAACCUCAAGAGUCACAUCAAACCAUCUGCACCUCCCUUGCCUUUCUGGACCAUCCACAGCAGAGCCUGGGAAGAAUUUCUGCCUGUGAUUCUCAGAGGAAUCAUCACUGAACCAAGCACUUCGCGCCAGAUGUGGCUGAGGGAAGAAAAUCUCAUGUGAAGUGCAAGUCUGACACCUGGAGGAGACUGCUGAGAUGCAGCUAGGGGAGUAUGGAGCAGUUAGGGAUUCUGCAACACACUGCUUGGUUUGCAGGCUUGAGGAGAGAAAUCCAGGAAGCAUCAAUAAAUCCACUUUGACAGCAGAGUAAAGAGCUGCAAAAGAAGUAACCUGUCAGACUAAUGUGACUUAAUUUCUCAGAGAAAGAUCCUUUUUAUAGAUGAAAUAAAAAUGCCAGCAAAGUCAAAUAGCAGGAAGUGUCACACUUGAUUGUCUCUCAGUAGGAAAAAAAGAAAAAAGGCAAGGUAAAUGACAUGGUUUUAUGUUUAGCAAGGGAAGUAAUAACAUAUACUGAGAAUAAUAACAUAUACUGAGAAUCUAUGCACAGCAACCUGAGUAUCACAAAGGUAUGUGUUCCCACAUAAACAUUCAUUUAAUCUACACAUUUUUACUUAGGCAAAACGAAGGCUAUGAGCCAGGGAGUUUAAAGAUUUGGUGAGAUACACAGAUUGGACAUGAGGGGGCAGUCUUACCUGCAGUUUAUUGAUGGGAAAACUGCUGCGUAAUAUCGAGGCAGGGUUAUUACAGGCAGUUUGGUUUGGCCUCCCAAGUUGCAGUGCCAAGAUCUGGGGCUUUGCCCCUUUCUAAGCAAGGGACCCAUCCAGGCUUUUCAGAUUUCCUUAUUGAAAGGGUGAGCACUGCCCCUUUAAAUAAGCACAGAGAUCUCAGUCCAAAUGGGGAAUGAAGCCCAGGCUACCAACAGUUAUGAAACCUCCCUUUUAGAGCUUGCAGGCUUAGGGGCUGCUGCUAUACUCCGAGGUUAAUAAUCAGUUUUAAUAUUCACUUAGGGGGCUGUAAAAAAAGAAUGAAAAUUUCGUAAUUUGAAAAUGGACUUGAUUGGCAGCUUUAUUAUCUCUGUAAGGUGCGUGGCAUUCCACACAAUCAAGUAGUUUUUUUAAAUAAUCUCACUGCUUAAGUCGUACAUGCUGCUAAUUGCAUUUUAAUAAGUCUCUUUAAAAUCUUUCCAUAUUUUUUAAUAUCCUAAUAUUAGAUAAGUGAUUGCUGGGGACACUGGAGGGCACUGAAGUUUAUAGAAAGAGGAACACCAUAAUGAAGCUUUAUUGGGAUGGCAUCACCAAACAAUUGCUGUGAUAGCAACACUCCCAAGCUUGGAAAAGUGCCAGACAAUCCCCCCCUGGAACUGACUCAGACACUAGCCUCUCUGGCUCAGGACUGAUGCAGAAAAUGGAUGCUUUCUGGCUCAUAAAAUGGCCUCUUUCCGGCUUGGAAAUGACUGAGGAACUGUCCACUUUUGAUUUGGAAAGAACUGGUCUUUCUACAUUGAACAAUGACUUUGAAACACACCUUUUUUUUUUUUUCUUGAUUCUGGCUUAAAAAUUGUGUUUUUUUAAUUUGGCCAGGACUAGACAGAAAGGAGAAAGGUUUUUUUUUUACCAUCUCUGUACAAUAGCAGAAGUUGUGAAAGGCUUCAGUGGGAAUUAGAAAACUAAGGCUACAAGAAGAAUAGAUGAACUUUCCAUCUCAAAGAUCAAACCCAGUUAAGAUGAGAGAGUAUUUGGAAAAAACAACCUAUAGUGUGGGGUUAUUGGGUGUCUAUAUCUCACACAGGGGACAUGGACCAUGACCCAAGAAUACCAACAGCAAUCCAGACUUAAUCGCUCUAAAAUUAAAAAACAAACAAACAAACAAAAAAACCCCACCAAACCCCUCAAAUGACAGUGGGAUGGAACUGACAAAUUCCAGAUUCAAGGACCACAAACUACAGAGAAUUUCAAACUCAGAUUCAAGCUGGGUCCUGCAUGUACAUCCACAUGGUCAGCUAUUGCAGCGUUUACAAGCCAGUGGUGCAAGAAGGUGCCCCACAACAUUUCAUGUGCAGAGGCCAACAUUUUCUGUUGUAAGUCUGCCUUCAGAUUCAGUGCUGUGUUCCCUAUAUAUUUCAGUUGUGUUUCUCCAGAUUGUGACUGCGGGGCAACUAUUGUCACUUUCAGUGUAAUUUAACAGCAUCAUCCAUGUGGCAGGGAGAGAAGGAAAACUAUAAUCCCAAAUUAGUGUGUAGCUGGCUUUUAGGGAACUUGACUGGGAUAGAGGGACUUUUUUUAUUUUUUUGCCAAAACAGAAUGGCAAUGCCAAAUUUUACAUUAUAUUGUAUUCUGUCCUCUGGAAUUCAUGUAUUGGGCCCUGGGAUCAGAAAGUUAUUUUGAGAACAAUAGUGACUUUAAUGUAUUGCCUGCUCUUAUAUAUUUUUUCCCCCUGAAAUCUCAUCUUCUGAAAUCAUACUCUAAUAAAUCACAAUUUUAGCUUUGGUUUAAAAAAAUCAAGCUUCUAGCCAUUCACUAUUAGUAAAGAAAGCCAGAAAAAAUGUUAUAUCUUCUUAAGGAUUCAAAACCUAGGGAAAAAAUACAGAAAAACCAUAGAUUUUUUUUUCCAUUCAAGUCCCAUAAUAUUUAAGUAAAAUUGGUUUUUUGGAACCCAACUAUGAGUUUUAGUACUUGAAAUUGGCAACACUGAUAUAAACAUCUUGCAUUAGUUUGUUUGAAUGUGAGCCAUUUUCUGACUAACUGAAGAUCUGUUUGUCUAUCCAUGUGUUUCUUCUGUACAUCGUCAGAGAAUCCUUGGACUUGGUCCAUUGUAUCAUUAGGUCUGAUCUUAUUCCCACUGAAAUCCAAAGGAGUUCUGCCACUGACCGCCUGUUAAAAAUGGAUUAAACCCAACUUUACCAUAUAGUAUAAGAAUAGUUUGCCUAUUAAUACUAAAUUUCUGAUUACUUGUUGUGUAUCUUUUCGGUUUUAAGGUGUAUGAGAUGCCAUUGUAGAGAAACCAAUGUCUCUGACAUUAGCCAUGAGAUAGAAAAGAGUUGUCAGUUUACAAAAUUUCCUGUCUUCCUCUCUUCUUCUCCUUUUUUUUUUCCCCCUUCUGAAAAUAAGAGCAGAAGGUCUUGUUUCACACUGACAGGCUGGGAGGCACAUGUUCAGUGAACUUCUGCACAGGAAGUAAAUGUCCAGGUCAUAUUUAUCCCUUUUCAUGUGGUUCUUUUAAUCCCCCAGAUUGGGUUUCAGAAGAGUUUUACAGUUUCAGUUUUACAAAGCAAACCUUCCUUUAAUGUUGGCAUUUUAAAGAAAAAGCUUCAGUCAAAACAUGUGUGUUUUACAUCAGCCAGAUGUGACGUUUGGGGGAGCAGGCCACAAUGUGGCAGCCAGCUCUGCUGCAAGAGCUGGCUGGGUUGGUGUUGGACAUCGAAUGGGAGCUACUGGUCCCAGGUUGGGGAUCAGGCUCCUGGCUCUCUCACCCAGUCCAAAAAUUUAUAAAAAUAAUAGUAAUAAUAAUAAAAAGUGCCUGAGCAAAUUAAAGAUCGGAGCAUGGACGGCAUUGCUAUGACUUGCAUCCCAGUAGGGUGAUGCAAGUCACAAGGCCACAUUAGAGCACAGCCCUGCUGUGCAGACCUGUACCCCUAAAAAUAUGUUCUUGCCUAAAACCGGUUAUGUUAAAGUGAAGUAAGAGAUGUUAAAGGCAGCAGAGGCACGCCAAUGUGUCCAGCACUGCACCAGCUGUCAGUGGCUACUCCAAACGUAAAACCUAUCUCUGCAUAAUUUCCAUUGAAUAUCUCUGUCCAGGUAACCUGCUGUUUCCAGGACAUAAUUUUUGUCAUUUUAAUUGAAAAAAAUAAACAAACAAUGAAACACGCUCAGAAAUCUGUUACCUUUCCCCAGGGCUUAGCAGGUCCUGUUUUCAGCUGCUUCUCUAAAUUGGGGCCAGCUGUGACAGGGUGGGGGCUUUUCUUCUACCUUCAAAAGCCCUUCCUAGCAGCAUUGCUUCAGUGUGGCUGGAAUUUUCACCAGAGAGGUGGUUUUUCAGCAGCCUGUGCUGUGCCAGGGCCAUCUCAGGGCCUGUGUGAGGCAGAGGCCCCUGUUCAGGGGAGCCCCUGUGCAGCCACUGUUUCCCUCUGUUUCUGCCAGUCCAGCAAGCAGCUACUGGUGCUACAGCACAAGCGUCUGUCUCCUGCUAUGGGUGCCUUGCCUCAUUGUCUGUGUGGCAGUACCUGGCCUUACCAUCUAUGAGUUGCCUCAGUAAGUCAGGAAUUAGGCACCAUCUCCCUUGUGGCCACCAUUUUGUGACUGUCAGGUUCCCCUGAGUGGCUCCUCAGGGGUUGUUGCUGCUCUGGGCUGGAGCAGUUAAAGAAAAGUUGAGGCAGAACUGAGAAAUCCUAGGUGUGACAAUUCAUCUUAUCAGUGUGUGUGACCUUGAGACCCCCUCAGACAAUGGGUGUCUUGUAUCCCCUGUGCUGCUGCC